rnacentral:rRNA from 2 species
UGGGGAAUUUUGGACAAUGGGGGCAACCCUGAUCCAGCAAUGCCGCGUGAGUGAAGAAGGCCUUCGGGUUGUAAAGCUCUUUUGUCAGGGAAGAAACGGUAGUAGCGAAUAACUAUUACUAAUGACGGUACCUGAAGAAUAAGCACCGGCUAACUACGUGCCAGCAGCCGCGGUAAUACGUAGGGUGCAAGCGUUAAUCGGAAUUACUGGGCGUAAAGCGUGCGCAGGCGGUUGUGUAAGUCAGAUGUGAAAUCCCCGGGCUCAACCUGGGAAUUGCAUUUGAGACUGCACGGCUAGAGUGUGUCAGAGGGGGGUAGAAUUCCACGUGUAGCAGUGAAAUGCGUAGAUAUGUGGAGGAAUACCGAUGGCGAAGGCAGCCCCCUGGGAUAACACUGACGCUCAUGCACGAAAGCGUGGGGAGCAAACAGG